CGAAAUUGUGUUAACCAAACCCCCAUCUCCUUGGCCUGUUAAACCAGGCCCAACCUACACCAAAUUUCCAGCAUACUCCAGCGCGUUAUUAUCCAAAUUUAGGGGCACCACUAACAGCCCAGACAGAUUACCUGAAUCCUUCCUAGCAGGCCCACUAACCUCUAUUCUCUCGGCCCCAUCCAAAAAAUCUGCCCUCCAUAUUGUUUUGACCAAAGACACUAAAAUUGUUUUCAUUCCCCCCUAAUUUUUAGUCGUCGAAAAAUCCCCCUUUUAGAAACGGAUCCCCUGCAAAUCAGCUUCCAUCGUACUAUUCACGACCAUUUUCCUCCCAAGCAGAUUUGAAGCGUUUAUCACGGGUCCUUUCGUCUCUAAGCUUUGACGAAUUUGGGGAUUUCGCCGUGAUUUUCUUUCAACGAUCAUCCAAGGGCCAAAUGGUUCCGUCACCUCUCCCACCUUGUUUGCCUUCAGUAAGUCCUCCUUCGUCGAUCUAACACCCACAUCCAUCUCUUUUGAAGGCCCCUCACCGGGCAAAGUUCUUUUGAGUAACCAAAUCGGCCACAAGAAAAUAAACAGUUGGAAGCGAUUUGAAUUCCACCCUCUGUAACACCCCGUUAACCAUGAUUUGAGAGACCAGGGGUUGUCUCAAAUCGAUGCCUACCGCCAUCCUUGCAAAUUUCCCUUUCGACCCCUUGUCCAUCUGAAAGUCCAGCUUGAUAACCGUCCCUAUCAAACCCCUUAUUUUCUCCAAAAUCUGGCGUUUGUAGAGGAAACCCGGAAGACCAGACAACCUGACCCAUACCAUCGCAUUGCUAGGGAAAGCUUGUGGAGAGAAUCAAACUCCGAUGUCCACGGUUGAACCGUGAGGUACUGGCCAAGCACGAUCCAAGGCCCCUGGGUAAGUACUUUAUCAUAGUCAACACGACUCUGAAACUUAACCAGAAAAUACCCAUUUUCCAUAUCCAUGAGGUGGAACUGUUGGGACAAUAUCCGCAGGCUUUGAAUUCUAUUUUGCAGUAUAGAAUAAGAUAGAUUCCGACCUAGAAGCUUAACCACUACCGUAGUCGCCAUUUCUCUAAACAGAAUUUGUUGAACCCUUUCUGAAAAACUGAUAACAGGGAUACCAUUCACCGUAGAUCUCGUAACAUCUCCAUCCAAAAGCUCAAAGUCCUCCUCCUUACCAUAACCAGGGACUCCUCGACCCAAGACUUUAUCCCUCCAUGAGAUUUCUGGUGCUAAAUUUGUGUCAUAUAAUUUACUUUAAUAUAUAUAUUAGAUUUCUAAAUUAGUUUUAAUAGUAGUAUGUAUAAAUUAGUUCAAUGUUUUAUUAUUUCAAUUUAAUAUUAUAGUGUUUUCUUUUAUUUUUGUUCCAAAUUUCUAUAUUACUUUUAAUAGUACUAUAUAUUAAUUCAUGUUUUAUUAAUUUAAUUUAAUAUUAUAUUUUUUUAUUUUAGCUCCAAAUUUUUAUAGUAUAUUUGCUUGUAUUAUGUGUUAAUUCAAUUUUAAUUAGUUAUCUUUAGUUAAUAUUGAUUUUACAUUUGAUUUAAAUUAUUUCUGGAAACUACAAUUCAAAUAGUAAUAUUCAAUGAUGUUGUGACAAAAUUUAAAGAUAAUUUUCAGAAGAAAAAUACUUAUACAAUUACAAAUGGUGUAAUAAAAAGAUCUUAUGAUAAAUUUAUUAAUGUUUAUAAUAAAUAUAAAUUGUGAUUGAUUUUUUAUACUUAAAUAAGCCAGUUUUCUAAAUCACAAAAGUGUUUUGUUUUAUAUUUUGUUUUUUAAUAAAUCGAGAGAGAAUAUGAUUAAAAAAUAGGUAUAGUUCUAUUUUCGUUUGGUAUUAAUUAUUAUUUUACUUUAUAUAAUCUACAUUUUUUUUACUUCUCUUUUUGCAUGGAGAUUCUUGAGGAGUAAUUUUAAUAUAUUUUACAUUUUUUUUUUGCAUGGAGACUUUUGAGAAAAAAUUUAUUGUCUUUCGUAUUUUCUUCUCUCCCUGUAAUUGGUAUCAGAGGCCGGAGUAAUGAUACUUGGAGAAAUAAUAUUGUAGUAUUCAUUAUAAGUUUUAUCUUUUAUUUACAAUUUCGUUUCUUUCAUAGUUAUUUAUCUUAAAACUCGUAUAUUUGUUAUUCUGUCUUUCUAUUGUCUGUGUGAGACUGUAGGCCUUUGAAAGUAAAGACAUAAAAAGAUAAUGGAAGGUUUUAGGUACCAAAGAUAAAUUUCAUAGAAGAAAUAGAUUGUCUCUAUAAAGAAAAAAUUUGUAAUCAUGCUAUGCAUAUUGACUCUAAAAAUGAAAAUAUUUCAGCUCUGAAUAAAUGUUUUAAUAGUUUAAUAGAUAUUACUUCUAUAUAGUUUCAUAAAUUAUAUAACAUAGUAAGUAAAAUAGAACAUCAAGUCAAUAAUUUAAGAAAAGUUGCAGGAUUAGAUUUGAACAACAAAUCUAAACAAAUAUUAUCUAAUGUUAAUAAUAAAUUAGAACAAAUUCUUAUUAAUAAAAAUAUAGAACAAGAGGUAGAUUUAGUACCUUUAUAUUAUGAAAAUAAUAAUAUAAUAUUAACUGUCUGAGGAAGAAGAUACUUCUUUAGAAGAAUCAUCUUCUAUUAAUAAAAGAAAUAAAAAAAACUUGAAAAACAGAAAAGAAAAUAUAGUUAUCAACAAAAAUAUGAUUUCUAAUCUUUUAUAAAUAACUUAUAGACCAUUGAAAGUAUAAAUUUACUAAGAGUUCUGAUAAAAAUGAAAGAGUUGAAAAUUUAAAAUUAAUAGAACAAUUUUAUGAAAAACAUAAAGAUUUAUUUACUUUAUUUAACUAUCAUUGUAUGUUAAACUAUGACAUUACAGACAAUAGUAGUUCCAGUAAUUUUGAUAAUUCUAUAAACCUAGAAGACCUAAAAAUUACAAGUUAUAAAUCUGAUGAAGAAAAUGCUUCAACAGAUGAAGACGAAAAUAUAGAAAUACUAGAACCUAUAGAUACUAAUCAAACAGAUCCUUAUGGAAAAAGAAAAAUAGAAUUAGAUCUUCAAAAUGAUGGUUAUAUGAGAUCUUUUAGAAAAGAUUUUAGAAAAGUUUAAAAUACAAUUAGAAUUUUUGGUAAUAAAACAGAAAAUAUAGCUACAAAUGAAAUAAAAACUGAAAAUCUAGGAGAAUCAUCUACUCAACCAAUUCCAUAUAUAAUAGAUGAUUUAAAUAAAAGAAACGUUGCUCAAGGUGGAAUAUAUUUAGAUUUAACUAAUAUUCUUAUAGCAGACUAUGAAAAAACCAUAGAUGACUGGGCACAAUCUAUGACUAUUGUUGUAAACAACAACAAUAUGUGGUCAAAAGAAAAAAUUUUAAAGUAUUUUGUUGGAACAUAUCAAGGAGAUAUUCUACAAUUUCUAGGAUGAGAAGAAUCUGAUAAAAAUAACAAAAAUGACAGUUAAUCAACCAAAUAGGAACUUCCAAAGAUCUUUUAAAAUGAUUAACUUUUAUUCUAAAAACAAAAUUUUGUGGCUAUUUUGAUAAAAAAGAUCAAGAUAGUAUAUCUAGUUAUAUCUUGUCAAAAAUUAAAUUAUGUGAUAUUAGAUAAGAAUUUUCUAAAACAUUUCUUUAUGAAUAUCAAAAACUAAAAAAUGAAAAUAUAGAAUUUUGAAAAAAUCAAUAUUUUUAUAAAUUACCACCACUAUGGGAUGAGAUAUGUAUAAAAAAAUAUAUUUCUUAUUUAGAAAAACACAGUAAAAUGGUUGGUGUACCAUAGACUCUAUAGGAAAUAGAAUAAAUUUUGCAAAAGAAAGAAUAACUUUAUACUAUUUACAAGAUAAAACUUCUAAACAAGUUAAGCAUAAAUUAAGUACUAAAUAUUGUACAAAAAUUUUAGAAAAUGAAUGGGAAUUUGGAUGUAAAUCAAUACGUCCUAACACUUAUAAAAGAUAUAAAACACUUAUAAAAGGUAUAAACUAGUUAGAUGGAAAUCAGGAAAUAAAAAAUAUAUUGGUUAUAAUAAUAAGAAAAGAUUUGUUAGAAGAAAAACUUCUAAAAAACCUAAAAAACAAAUAUGUAAAUGUUUUAUAUGUGAUGAAGAAUGUCACAUAGUACCAAAUUGUCCUAAUAAAGGAAAAAAUGCAAAUAAAAUGAUUAAAACACUUGAAGAACAAGAUUUAGGCUUAGUUUGGAUGAGUGGUGUGUUUAGCUCCGGUGAGGUUAAAAAUAGCGGUGGCGGUGAGAUUAGUUACCGUAGCGGUGAGAUUGGAUACUGUAGCAAUGAGAUUAGAAACAACGAUGGAGUGUGUGUUUAGAUUCAAACGCAGCUGUAGCGGUGAGGUGAAAAUAGAAAAUGACUUUUAAAGACAUUAGAUUAAAAAUGAUAUAUAAUAGAAGUUUUUAAAAUUAUUUAACAAUUACAAAAUUAAUAAAUGAUUAAAAAUUAUUACAAUUAUAUUUAUUUUCAAUAAUAAAUAAUUAAAAAUGAAUUAAAACUAGAGAAAAAUUCAAAAAAUUAUUUUAUUUAAUAUUUCAAAAUUAAUCAUAUAUUUAAUUAUAGGUGCUCAAUUCAUUAUUGAAAGAUUAUUGAAAUUAUUGAGCCUUUAGAAAAAUAAAACAUUAUUGAAAAAUAAAAUAAUAAAGCAACUCUAGAAUAAGGGUCUAUUUGUUUGCCAGUAAAAUGUUUUCUGGAAAAUGAUUUACUGAAAAUAUUUUCUGGUAUUUGUAUGAAUCUGUAUAAAAUAUUUUUUGUUGUUUGGCAAAUUUCUUGAAAAUAUUUUCCGAAAAAGUUGUUUUUACAUAUAUUAAUAAAUUUUUAUAUUUUAAAUUUUUUUCAUAUAUUGCAAUGAUUUGUUUAUAAAUAAAUAUAUGGCAUCAGACUGUUAUACUGCUGAACUUUGGUACGAAAGCAUCUAAUAGAAGACUCUGAGGAAGUGCAGCUACUAGCUAAUAGUAACAUCUGCACAUUUCUAAGGGCAUUGCUUCACAUAUUUCUGAGAAAGCACCAAUUUAUGAAUUCUGACAAAUAGAUCUAUAAUGCCAAAUACAUGAAGAGAAAAAAAAACAUGUAUACAUAAGUUUGACAUAAGUACAAAACUAUUCAUUCUUCUUUCAAAUCUUUUUAAUGAAAUAUUUACAAUACCCUUUUUCUCAAUGUCUGUGCGUCUUAAUGCAUGUUAUUUCAAAAGUUUGUCAUCAGUAACUCAAUGCAAGACAUUGCUAGCACCAAAUAACUUUAAAACUAAAACCAACCGUUGGCUAGUAACUGACAUAGCCUAUGGCCACCAUGUAGAACGUGCAAUGUCGAGCCUUGAGCUGGCCAGCAAUGCUAAAGGGAAGAGUUGAAAAUCACAUCUGUUGGGGUUUUGACAACAGAGGAAGAAAACAGAAGCAAGUAACCCAGAUGAUGUAAAGAUUAACUUCAUUACUUGAAUAAGCAAUAUGCCAUAUACAUAAGUAGUCCGGAUUACAUGUGCUGGUUUUUUUAGCAGAAAACUAAGGAGAAAAAGAAAAACAAAUGCAAAGAAGUUUAAACAAGAAGA
rnacentral:lncRNA from 1 species